rnacentral:rRNA from 1 species
UGGGGAAUUUUGGACAAUGGGCGAAAGCCUGAUCCAGCAAUGCCGCGUGUGUGAAGAAGGCCUUCGGGUUGUAAAGCACUUUUGUCCGGAAAGAAAUCCUUGGGCUCUAAUACAGUCGGGGGAUGACGGUACCGGAAGAAUAAGCACCGGCUAACUACGUGCCAGCAGCCGCGGUAAUACGUAGGGUGCAAGCGUUAAUCGGAAUUACUGGGCGUAAAGCGUGCGCAGGCGGUUUGCUAAGACCGAUGUGAAAUCCCCGGGCUCAACCUGGGAACUGCAUUGGUGACUGGCAGGCUAGAGUAUGGCAGAGGGGGGUUAGAAUUCCACGUGUAGCAGUGAAAUGCGUAGAGAUGUGGAGGAAUACCGAUGGCGAAGGCAGCCCCCUGGGCCAAUACUGACGCUCAUGCACGAAAGCGUGGGGAGCAAACAGGAUUAGAUACCCUGGUAGUCCACGCCCUAAACGAUGUCACUAGUUGUUGGGGAUUCAUUUCCUUAGUAACGUAGCUAACGCGUGAAGUUGACCGCCU